GAUAGCGGUGAACCUAAACCCUCAACUAGAAAAUUGUGAGGCAAGAGUAGUACUAGGAUGGGUGACCCCCUCGGAAGUCCUCGCGUUGCAACCC
rnacentral:rRNA from 1 species